CAUGCAAGUCGAGCGGGGGAAGGUAGCUUGCUACUGGACCUAGCGGCGGACGGGUGAGUAAUGCUUAGGAAUCUGCCUAUUAGUGGGGGACAACAUCUCGAAAGGGAUGCUAAUACCGCAUACGUCCUACGGGAGAAAGCAGGGGAUCUUCGGACCUUGCGCUAAUAGAUGAGCCUAAGUCGGAUUAGCUAGUUGGUGGGGUAAAGGCCUACCAAGGCGACGAUCUGUAGCGGGUCUGAGAGGAUGAUCCGCCACACUGGGACUGAGACACGGCCCAGACUCCUACGGGAGGCAGCAGUGGGGAAUAUUGGACAAUGGGGGGAACCCUGAUCCAGCCAUGCCGCGUGUGUGAAGAAGGCCUUAUGGUUGUAAAGCACUUUAAGCGAGGAGGAGG
rnacentral:rRNA from 1 species